GAUGAACGCUGGCGGCGUGCUUAAUACAUGCAAGUCGAGCGAACAGGUGCUGCUUUUGUUCGUUGGUCGUUUGGCGAACGGGUGAGUAUAACACGUGUAUCAUGUCCCUGUCAGUGUGAUAACAUUUCGGGACACGGGCUCAUAUCGGAUAGAAGAUAUUGCUCCAUGGUGUUGAAUAGUAAGUGUCGGCUGUGCGGGAUGGAUUCGCGGCUUAUCAGCUUGAUGGUCUGGUAGUGGAGUACCAAGGCUUUGACGGGUAGCCGGCCUGAGAGGGUGACCGGCAACAAUGGGACUGAGGUACGGCCCAGAAUCCAACGGGAGGCAGUAGGGGGGAAUAUUACACAGUGGGCCGAAGCGUGAGACAGAAACGCCGGGUGCGGGAUGAUGGCCUUCGGGGUGUAAACCGAUGUCGCAUGUGACGAGGAGUGAGUGACGGUAAUGGGUAAAGAAGCACCGGCUAACUACGUG
rnacentral:rRNA from 1 species